rnacentral:rRNA from 1 species
GAGUUUGAUCAUGGCUCAGAUUGAACGCUGGCGGCAGGCCUAACACAUGCAAGUCGAACGGUAACAGGAAGAAGCUUGCUUCUUUGCUGACGAGUGGCGGACGGGUGAGUAAUGUCUGGGAAACUGCCUGAUGGAGGGGGAUAACUACUGGAAACGGUAGCUAAUACCGCAUAACGUCGCAAGACCAAAGAGGGGGACCUUCGGGCCUCUUGCCAUCGGAUGUGCCCAGAUGGGAUUAGCUAGUAGGUGGGGUAACGGCUCACCUAGGCGACGAUCCCUAGCUGGUCUGAGAGGAUGACCAGCCACACUGGAACUGAGACACGGUCCAGACUCCUACGGGAGGCAGCAGUGGGGAAUAUUGCACAAUGGGCGCAAGCCUGAUGCAGCCAUGCCGCGUGUAUGAAGAAGGCCUUCGGGUUGUAAAGUACUUUCAGCGGGGAGGAAGGGAGUAAAGUUAAUACCUUUGCUCAUUGACGUUACCCGCAGAAGAAGCACCGGCUAACUCCGUGCCAGCAGCCGCGGUAAUACGGAGGGUGCAAGCGUUAAUCGGAAUUACUGGGCGUAAAGCGCACGCAGGCGGUUUGUUAAGUCAGAUGUGAAAUCCCCGGGCUCAACCUGGGAACUGCAUCUGAUACUGGCAAGCUUGAGUCUCGUAGAGGGGGGUAGAAUUCCAGGUGUAGCGGUGAAAUGCGUAGAGAUCUGGAGGAAUACCGGUGGCGAAGGCGGCCCCCUGGACGAAGACUGACGCUCAGGUGCGAAAGCGUGGGGAGCAAACAGGGUUAGAUACCCUGGUAGUCCACGCCGUAAACGAUGUCGACUUGGAGGUUGUGCCCUUGAGGCGUGGCUUCCGGAGCUAACGCGUUAAGUCGACCGCCUGGGGAGUACGGCCGCAAGGUUAAAACUCAAAUGAAUUGACGGGGGCCCGCACAAGCGGUGGAGCAUGUGGUUUAAUUCGAUGCAACGCGAAGAACCUUACCUGGUCUUGACAUCCACAGAACUUUCCAGAGAUGGAUUGGUGCCUUCGGGAACUGUGAGACAGGUGCUGCAUGGCUGUCGUCAGCUCGUGUUGUGAAAUGUUGGGUUAAGUCCCGCAACGAGCGCAACCCUUAUCUUUUGUUGCCAGCGGUCCGGCCGGGAACUCAAAGGAGACUGCCAGUGAUAAACUGGAGGAAGGUGGGGAUGACGUCAAGUCAUCAUGGCCCUUACGACCAGGGCUACACACGUGCUACAAUGGCGCAUACAAAGAGAAGCGACCUCGCGAGAGCAAGCGGACCUCAUAAAGUGCGUCGUAGUCCGGAUUGGAGUCUGCAACUCGACUCCAUGAAGUCGGAAUCGCUAGUAAUCGUGGAUCAGAAUGCCACGGUGAAUACGUUCCCGGGCCUUGUACACACCGCCCGUCACACCAUGGGAGUGGGUUGCAAAAGAAGUAGGUAGCUUAACCUUCGGGAGGGCGCUUACCACUUUGUGAUUCAUGACUGGGGUGAAGUCGUAACAAGGUAACCGUAGGGGAACCUGCGGUUG